AUGGUGUUGAAAUUCCGUUCUGAGCUAGAGGGCUGUUUUAACAGAGAAAGGAAUCUAUAAUUGGCAAGAAAGACCAAGCUUAAUGUCAAAGCCGUUUGAUAAGUCUGAGAUCACAGAAUGUCUAGGCCAAGACUUAGUCAGAAUGAAACAUGUUUCUGGAGAACAGGAAGCAAGGCCACAUGCUGAGCAGGAGGAGCCAGCACAGGGUGGAGUAGUGAAGGGCCACUCUGCCGCAGCCGCGUCUCAAUGAGUUUCCUGCAUAGUUAGUGUGGUCCAGAAGAGACACUGAUGUACGAGAUUUGGAAGGCGGAAGAGAAGCAGCAGCAUGUUGCUUUUAUGCUCAGAAG
rnacentral:lncRNA from 1 species